UGGUCAGUGCGGCAGGACUCGAACCUGCGACCCGAAGCAUCCAAGGCUCCCACGCUACCAACUGCGCUACGCACUG
rnacentral:tRNA from 1 species